GGUCGGAUGGCUGAGUGGUUAGGUGAAGGCACGCAAUGUCUUUUACAGUGGUUCGAAUCCAUUUCCGACCU
rnacentral:tRNA from 3 species